rnacentral:rRNA from 1 species
GAUGAACGCUGGCGGCGUGCCUAAUACAUGCAAGUCGAGCGAACAGAUAAGGAGCUUGCUCCUUUGACGUUAGCGGCGGACGGGUGAGUAACACGUGGGUAACCUACCUAUAAGACUGGGAUAACUUCGGGAAACCGGAGCUAAUACCGGAUAACAUUUGGAACCGCAUGGUUCUAAAGUGAAAGAUGGUUUUGCUAUCACUUAUAGAUGGACCCGCGCCGUAUUAGCUAGUUGGUAAGGUAACGGCUUACCAAGGCGACGAUACGUAGCCGACCUGAGAGGGUGAUCGGCCACACUGGAACUGAGACACGGUCCAGACUCCUACGGGAGGCAGCAGUAGGGAAUCUUCCGCAAUGGGCGAAAGCCUGACGGAGCAACGCCGCGUGAGUGAUGAAGGGUUUCGGCUCGUAAAACUCUGUUAUUAGGGAAGAACAAACGUGUAAGUAACUGUGCACGUCCUGACGGUACCUAAUCAGAAAGCCACGGCUAACUACGUG